AUUGAACGCUGGCGGCAUGCUUUACACAUGCAAGUCGAACGGCAGCGCGGGCUUCGGCCUGGCGGCGAGUGGCGAACGGGUGAGUAAUGCAUCGGAACGUGCCCAGUAGUGGGGGAUAGCCCGGCGAAAGCCGGAUUAAUACCGCAUACGACCUGAGGGUGAAAGCGGGGGACCGAAAGGCCUCGCGCUAUUGGAGCGGCCGAUGUCGGAUUAGCUAGUUGGCGGGGUAAGGGCUUACCAAGGCGACGAUCCGUAGCUGGUCUGAGAGGACGACCAGCCACACUGGGACUGAGACACGGCCCAGACUCCUACGGGAGGCAGCAGUGGGGAAUUUUGGACAAUGGGGGCAACCCUGAUCCAGCCAUGCCGCGUGCGGGAAGAAGGCCUUCGGGUUGUAAACCGCUUUUGUUCGGGAAGAAAUCCUCUGGGCUAAUACCCCGGGGGGAUGACGGUACCGGAAGAAUAAGCACCGGCUAACUACGUG
rnacentral:rRNA from 1 species